rnacentral:rRNA from 1 species
AAUAUUGGACAAUGGGGGCAACCCUGAUCCAGCCAUGCCGCGUGUGUGAAGAAUGUCUUCGGAUUGUAAAGCACUUUACGUUGGGAGGAAGGGCAGUAAGUUAAUCCCUUGCUGUUUUGACGUUACCGACAGAAUAAGCACUGGCUAACUUCGUGCCAGCAGCCGCGGUAAUACGUAGGGUGCAAGCGUUAAUCGGAAUUACUGGGCGUAAAGCGCGCGUAGGUGGUUCAGUAAGAUGGGUGUGAAAUCCCCGGGCUUAACCUGGGAACUGCUUUCAUAACUGCUGAGCUAGAGUACGGUAGAGGGUAGUGGAAUUUCCUGUGUAGCGGUGAAAUGCGUAGAGAUGUGGAGGAACACCAGUGGCGAAGGCGGCUCUUUGGUCUGUAACUGACGCUGAGGCGCGAAAGCGUGGGGAGCAAAC